CAGUAGACGAGGACGAAGCCAAACCUUUGACAGCCCAAAGCUGUGUGGAAAAAGUUUCCUCAGGCGAAAAAGUUCCGACAGAAGGAGAAGCGUCGGGUGACACCACAAAACCGGGUUAAAGUUGCUGUUAUCUCCGUCCAUUUCUCCUCCCCUCCUCCUCCCCUUCACUCUCUUUCACUAAACAGGAGGUGCUUUCACUGAACGAGACAUGAGAAACAGAAAGUAGCACAACGAAAGUGCCAAGGACACCAGACCCGAAGAAGCUUUUGAACGUGACUUCCAGGCUGUCCUUUAACCCAGUGCAGGAAUCACUCAGCAACUUCAGUCAGAUGAGAACCUGCAUGUCCAAAUUCCUCCUUCUCAGUCUUUGGAGUCUUUGAUCCACUAGGGGGCAGCACUGCCAUUUAGCAGCGAUUUAGCAGCGAUUCAGCACACUGAACUCUGGUGGCCUGUACCGACUUCCUCUCUCCCCAGCCUGUGUUCCCUCUCCUCUGUCUGGUCCCCUUCAGGCCCUGCUGGAGCCGCGGGCAUCCUUCACCCUGAACGGGGAACAGGA